rnacentral:lncRNA from 1 species
UUCACCAUAGAGAUCCCACCCCUCAAGUACACCACUGAGAGGACCCUUUCCACAUUCACAUUUCCGGUAAGAUUGGCUUUCUCCAUUCAAUUGUCUCUAUGUCACGCCUUAUUUUGAGAAUGAACCUAAUGUAAGAUAAUUUAUUAUCCCAAUCCUUUCAGAAUUGGUCUUCUAUUCAUUAUCGGAUUGCAAGACUCAAGACUAAUCAAGAGCUCAACACAACUCUCGACCUGCAGCCUCUGUGUCAGUGUCCCAUAUGGAUUACAAGGCUAAAGGGGUUUCUAGUUCUAUGAGAAUUAGGAUUAAAAGUUCUAUAGCAAUAAGGAUACCUCAAGGAGUCUCUUGAUGGGCAAGACUCCUUGAGUGAUGCAUAUAAAUAGAACAGCUCCCUCUAAGAGCCAAUACACACAAAAUCUCAUCAAGUGAUUCACCCCAUCUGGAAUCUGAGAAUAAGGCAUUUGGUGAUCUUAGAGAAGAGCUGUCUCCCAGGUGUUUGACGUAAGGCUUCAAUGGCAGAACAAGGUUAGUGUUCAAGUUAUCAUAACUAAUUAAGUUUACAUGUGGUAUCAGAGCAUAAGUUAUUUUAUCUUCUACCCAACCAAUUUUGUUGAAGCAUUUAGAACUUGAAAAUUGAAGGAUAAUUAAAGUUUUCAAGGUUAAAGAAACUUGUUACAGCAAGAGUUAAAGUUAACACCUUGCUGUGACAAAACAGAAAUUGAUCAAAGUUUGUAUAGUUCUUGCUAUGCUCUGAGCAAGCCAAAGCAACUCAGACACAACAAGAUCUGUACAUUCAAAGUUUUAUGAUCAAACUUGUGUUGAAAAUAAAGGCAUAAUGAAUGAUUCACUGUCCAAAGAUGUGAAUGAUUUAUCGUGCAAUUAUUUUCAGCAGAACAGCAUAAGAGAUGAAACAUGUAGGCUAUCAAGAUUGUUCUUCUGUCCAAAGAUGUGGAACUUUUCUUGUACAGGAAGCUUAUGUGAUUUUCAUAUCUUAGUGUUGAUGAACAUGUUUUGAUUUCUUCACCUAAAGGUGAGAAUUGAUCAUGUUUUAAAGAUUCUGGGGUUUUUCAGUUUUAAACACAUAUAUAUAUAUAUACUAUGUGUUUUUCAGUUAAUCACAACUCGAUUGAAACUCUCAUUGGCUCCAACUACACCAAAUGGAGGGAAGAUGUGGAAAUUGCUCUAGGAUUGCUGGAUUAUGAGAUGGUCAUUGAAGAAGAAGCUCCUGCAGAACCUGCUGCUACUGCAUCUGCUGAAGCAAAAGCAAAAUAUGCAAAAUGGACUAAAGCCAACAAGAUGGCUAUUCUAAUCAUGAGGAGAUCAAUUUCACCAUCUGUCAGAGGAAGCAUCACACCAUCUGAUAAUGCCAAGAAGUUCAUUGAUUCUAUUGCGGAAAAAUUUCAGGAAUCCAAGAAAGCUGAAAUUGGUACUCUGAUGGCACAACUUACUGAUGCAAAAUACAAUGGGGAGAAGUGUGUAAGAACACACAUAUUGAAUAUGCUGGAAAUUGGGAACAAGCUGCAAGCACUCAAAGUCAAUGUGGAUGAAAAUAUGAUGGUACACUUUGCAAUAAAUUCUCUACCAAGCACUUUCAAGCACCUUAGAAGCACCUAUGUAGCACAGAAGGAAAUAUGGACAGUAACUGACCUCAUAGGCAUCUGUGUGCAGGAAGAACAAAAUAUGAAGAAAGAUAAGGCUGAAGAAAGAGUUAACAUGGUUCACAACUUCAAACCCAAAAAGGAUUUUGGAAAGGGUAAAAUUGCUUGGAAGAAAAACAAGGAAGAAAAGGGAAGUAAGGGGCUAGAACCAGAAGGUUUCAAGUGUUACUUCUGCAAGAAAUUUGGUCAUAUGAAGAGGAAUUGUGACAGAUACAAAUGCUGGCUAGAUAAACAGAAGGCUAAAGGUAAGUCUAGUCAAGUAAAUGUUUGUUUUGAGUCUAAUGCAAUUGAGAUUUCUUCAGAUUCAUGGUGGUUGGAUAGUGGUGCAACAGUUCAUGUGGCUAAUUGUUUGCAGGGGUUCAAAACAAAGAGGCUGCCAAGCAAGGCUGAGAUGAAGGUGUUCGUGGGAAAUGGAGAAAGAGUCAAGGUGGAGUACAUUGGAUUAGCUAAGAUCGUUUUGGAGUCUGGUUUUAUUUUGGAGUUAGUAGAUGUAGUUUAUAUUCCUUCUAUGAAAAGGAAUCUUAUUUCAGUUAGUAAGCUUGUAAAAUCAAACUUACAGUUUGAGUUUGAUGAGUCUGGAUUCUCCAUUUUCAGAAAUAAAGUUAUGAUUGGUAAUGGUUUUCUAGAUGAUGGCAUGUUUCGUUUGAAUUGCAAGAAACCAAAUCCAAGUACUGCUAAUCUAAACAUCAAUCUGAUAAGCACUAAAAGGAAAGCAGAUAAAGAAGAAUCAUAUAGACUUUGGCACAAGAGACUAGGACAUGUCUCGAAUGAAAGAAUGAAUCUGCUAAACAAAGAAAAUCUGUUGCCACCACUUAACCACCAUGACAAAGACAACGUUUGCAUUGAAUGUGUUAAAGGAAAGUUAACUAAUUUGAGGAAGAAAGGUGCUACAAGAAGUGAGAAACUGCUGGAAAUUAUACAUACUGACAUAUGUGGUCCUUUUCCCACUAAAACACAUGAUGGUUUUAAGUAUUUCAUAACCUUCACAGAUGAUUUUUCAAGAUAUGGUUAUGUAUACUUAAUAUCUGAAAAAUCCAAUGCAUUAGACAUGUUUAAAGUUUACAAAACAGAGGUAGAGAACCAGCUGGAUUCGAAAAUAAAAGUGGUAAGGUCAGACAGAGGAGGUGAGUUUUAUGGCAGAUUUGAUGAAAAAGGAAGAAAUCCUGGACCUUUUGCAAAGUUUUUACAAGAAGAAGGAAUUGUGGCUCAAUAUACUAAUCCAGGUACGCCACAACAAAAUGGCGUGGCAGAAAGACGAAAUAGAACAUUGAUUGAAAUGAUUAGAAGCUUAAUGUGCUGUUCUAAACUUCCAAAAUUUCUCUGGGGGGAGGCUUUGAAAACAGCAAACUAUUUGCUGAAUAGAACUCCUACGAAAAGUGUGAACAAAAUCCCUUAUGAGAUAUGGUGCAACAGAAAACCAUGUCUCUCACACCUCAAAGUCUGGGGAAGCAAGGCAGAAGCAAAGUUCUAUAAUCCAUCAGAAAAGAAACUAGAUUCCAAGACAGUUACAUGCUUUUUCGUGGGAUAUCCAGAUAGAACAAAAGGGUACAGGUUUUACUGUCCCAACAAUACCACAAGGUUUAUGGAAACACAAAGAGCAAUUUUCAUUGAGGAUGAAAGUGAGCAAGGCACUGAUGAAAAUUUUGAUUUUGAUGAAAAUUUGGAAGAUGAGGAAUUUACAGGAAAAGAAGAUUUGAUAAGAGAAACAACAGUCUUGCCAUUCACUGAUUCGAGUGACAAGCAAAUCUCACCAAUUCAUGAUGAAAGAAAUUUAGAAGAGAAUCAAAUAACUGAAGCUCAACCAACUGCAGCAGAAAAUAUGCAGAUAGAUCAACAAGAGCAGCAGCCUUACAACUCAGAACUGAGAAGGUCACAAAGAACUAAGAGACCUGCUUUAUCAAACGACUAUUAUGUCUACCUGCAAGAGUCAGAACAUGACAUCAACACCAUAGAAGAUCCUGUGUCUUUUAAACAGGCUGUGCAAAGUGAAGAAUGUGAAAAAUGGAUGGAAGCAAUGGAGUCUGAGCUUCAGUCAAUGAGUAAAAAUGGUGUAUGGAAGCUUGUAGCAUUGCCUCAAGGAUGUAAACCAAUAGGAUGCAAAUGGGUUUACAAGACCAAAAGAAACUCAAAGGGACAAAUAGACAGAUAUAAGGCACGUUUGGUAGCAAAAGGGUUCACACAACAAGAGGGAGUGGAUUACAAUGAAACAUUCUCACCUGUUUCAACUAAAGAUUCUUUAAGGGUGAUAAUGGCAUUAGUGGCACUUUUCGAUUUACAUCUCCAUCAAAUGGACGUUAAGACUGCAUUUUUGAAUGGAAACCUUAUUGAAGAAAUUUAUAUGAAACAACCGGAUGGUUUCAUUCAAAAAGGGGAAGAAGAUUUGGUUUGCAAGUUGCAAAAAUCAAUAUAUGGUUUAAAACAAGCUUCAAGGCAGUGGUAUUUGAAGUUUGAUGAAGUUGUGAAGUCUCAAGGUUUCAUUGAUAAUCCCUUAGAUGAAUGCAUUUAUCUCAAAUUUCAUGGAAGACAUUAUAUUUUCAUGCUCCUUUAUGUUGAUGACAUUCUCUUAGCAAGCAGCAACUUGUCAUUAUUACAUGACACUAAGAGAAUGCUGUCAAAUUAUUUUGAGAUGAGUGAUUUAGGUGAAGCAAAUUAUGUAUUGGGGAUUGAAAUUAGUAGAGAUAGAGAAAGGGGAUUACUUGGUCUAUCACAAAAAGGAUAUAUAGAAAGGAUACUCAAAAGAUUCAAUAUGGAAAACUGCACAGGUUGUGAUGUUCCAUUCUCAAAAGGUGAUAAACUGAGCUGUGAUCAAUCUCCUAAAACUGAGCAAGAAAAGCUGGAAAUGCAGGACAAGCCCUAUGCUUCACUUGUAGGAAGCUUGAUGUAUGCACAAGUUUGUACAAGGCCAGACCUUGCUUUCUGCAUAAGUGUUCUUGGAAGGUUUCAAUCUAACCCCGGCCAACAACAUUGGGUAGCAGGCAAGAAGGUUUUGAGGUAUUUACAGAGAACUAAAGAGUACAAACUGGUUUAUCGAAGAGUUGAAGAAUUAAAACUGGAAGGAUAUGCUGAUGCAGAUUUUGCUGGAUGCUUGGAUACUCAGAAGUGUACAUCAGGUGUUGUAUUCUUGUUUGCAGGAGGAGCAGUGGCAUGGAAAAGUGUAAAACAACAAAAUGUAUCAACCUCAACUAUGCAGGCUGAAUUCUUAGCAGUUUAUGAAGCUACUUCAAUAGCAAUAUGGCUUAAGAAUUUUAUGUCAGUGUUGAGAAUUGUGGACUCCAUACAGAGACCAAUCCAGCUGUGGAAUGAUAACAGUGCUGCAGUUUAUUUUGCAAAAGGAAAUAAGAGAUCGUCAGGUCUGAGACAUCUGCAGUUAAAGUUUCUGUCAGCAAAAGAGAAGAUCCGAGAUGGUUUUACAACUCUAGAUCACAUUGGGACAGAUUCUAUGAUUGCAGACCCUUUGAACAAAGGUUUGCCUAAUCAUGUUUUUCAUAGGCAUGUCAGAAGCAUGGGUUUGCAGAUCAGUUUUGAUGUUUAAGUCAGUGGGAGUCAGUGGGAGCCAGAGUUAGAUCUGUUUUCUUUUAAUUAGUUUCAAUCGAAGUUGUCCUUACAGUUUUAUUUUGAAAUUGCUAUUCAAAGUUUUCUUAAAUUGUGUUUUUCCAAUUUAUAAAUAUUUUGGCAUAUGGAUGAAGGAAGAAUCUGCAAAAUUUGCUAGCACUUGUGUUUUUGCAUUUUCGUAUCCAUGAAGGAGUCAUGCAAGUUUAUUAAGACCUUGGUAGUCUUGUAAGGGUGAGCUAAGUUUUGUUUUGAUCAUUAAGUUUACUAAGGUAGAUCACAACAAGUUUUUGAUACUAAUUCAGUUGGCAGUCGCAUGUGUUGAUGUACAUUUGUAUGUGUGGUUGUAAAAGACUUGAGUUUGGUUGCUCAAUGUUCUUUGACAGUUCCAUAUGAGUUUAUAUCAAUGACAGUGGCUUGAUAAGAAACUGAGAAGGUUGAGUUCUAUAUUGGCCAUUAAGAGAUUGCUCUUGAGUCACAAUGAAUAUUUGACCAAGUGGGAGAAUGUAAGAUAAUUUAUUAUCCCAAUCCUUUCAGAAUUGGUCUUCUAUUCAUUAUCGGAUUGCAAGACUCAAGACUAAUCAAGAGCUCAACACAACUCUCGACCUGCAGCCUCUGUGUCAGUGUCCCAUAUGGAUUACAAGGCUAAAGGGGUUUCUAGUUCUAUGAGAAUUAGGAUUAAAAGUUCUAUAGCAAUAAGGAUACCUCAAGGAGUCUCUUGAUGGGCAAGACUCCUUGAGUGAUGCAUAUAAAUAGAACAGCUCCCUCUAAGAGCCAAUACACACAAAAUCUCAUCAAGUGAUUCACCCCAUCUGGAAUCUGAGAAUAAGGCAUUUGGUGAUCUUAGAGAAGAGCUGUCUCCCAGGUGUUUGACGUAAGGCUUCAAUGGCAGAACAAGGUUAGUGUUCAAGUUAUCAUAACUAAUUAAGUUUACACCUAAAACUUGGAUUAGACUAAUUCUUGAAUUGAGGCGUGACAAUUAAGGCAUAUCGUAUCCCAAUAGUAUUCAAUAAUUAUUAUCUUGUCUUCUAUGAUGAAGCAAUACAAUG